UCUGUCUGUACAAUUCUAACAAGAUGUUUUAUUUGCUAGAAUUGAAAGACUGCCACAUGCCGGUGGAAGGAGAGGUAUAUUCUCACAACAGCAGGAGACCAUUAUUGUCAAUAUGGUCCUUCAAAAUAAUCUCAUUCGUCUGCGAGAAAUACAACAGCGAGUUGAGGAAGACAACGAGAACUUUGAAGGAAUCGACAGUGUGAGUCUCUCCACUAUUGACCGUGUCCUGAAACGCAACCUCAUAAGUCUCAAACAAGCCUACAGAGUACCAUUUGAGAGAAAUUCUGAGAGGGUAAAAGAGCUACGAUAUCAAUAUGUACAAAGAAUGUUUCAACUGGAUUCCAUGGAGAGGCCUCAUGAGUGCAUCUUCUUGGAUCAAGCUGGCUUCAAUCUCACCAAAAGGGAGAAGGAGAGGCCGCAACAUUAUUGGUCAACGAGCCAUUGUAGAGUUGCCAGGGCAGUGUGGUGGCAACGUGACCAUAUGUGCUGCCAUCAGCAGCUACGGGGUUAUUCACCGCCAUGUGACUUUAGGACCUUACAACACUGCCCAUCUUAUAACGUUUCUGUAUGCUCUACAGGAAGCAUUACUGAGACGUGAAGAGAGAGGUGAUGAGCAGGCAGAGCAUCCCAUGUACGUGGUAAUCUGGGACAAUGUGAACUUUCACCGUGGUCCUAGAAUACGUGAGUGGUUUGAAAAUAACCCACGUUUUAUAAAUGUGUGCCUCCCACCAUACUCGCCCUUCCUUAAUCCCAUUGAAGAAUUUUUUUCUGCAUGGAGGUGGAAGGUCUAUGACAGAAAUCCUUAUGCACAGAAAAAUCUCCUUCAGUCAAUGGAUGCAGCAUGUGACAACAUUGGAGUGGAAUCGAUUCAAGGUUGGAUUCGUCAUGCUAAAGGAUUCUUUCCCCGUUGUUUAGCAAGGGACAGGAUUGCCUGUGACGUUGAUGAGGUCCUGUGGCCUGACCAUGCACAGAGGCAUGAUGCUGAGGCAGAAUGAUUCCAAGACAUUGCUAUCGAUCUGCUGCAUAUUUUGUUUGUGACUAUAUUUGUGUGCAGGAUUGUGCAAGUACUUCAUAAUAAAUCUAAUUUUCCCCUGCUCUGCUUUGAGUGUUUUGCAUUUAUCUCUGUAGUGUGUAAUGACUGCUGUGUAGUGUUUAUGCAUUAGCUGGAUGCGUGUGAUAUCUGAAAACAUUGUUUGGUUUUGGGUAAAGAUAACAUAGUUCUGAAGCAAUUGUUUGAUAUAGCAAGACAAGUCAAAGGUUUUGACAGUGUAGCUUAAGUUUGGUGAUUUGUGUUUAAGGUUUUGGGAAAGCGAGAGAAA